GGGUCUUCUUUCGAUGACCGACACCUGAUUCAAGCAUUCAUCUGGAGCUGAUG
rnacentral:snoRNA from 1 species